rnacentral:tRNA from 1 species
GGUUGUGGCCCAGUGGUAGAGUGCUUGCCUGGCAUGUACGAGGCGCUGGGUUCGAUCCUCAGCACCA